GUCUUUUUGUUAAUAAUUUAAGGUUUGGCCUGCUCCAUGAUGAUAUUAAAUAGCCGCAGUAUUUUGACUGUGCAAAGGUAGCAUAAUCAUUAGUUUUUUUAUUGAAAGCUGGAAUGAAUGGUCGGAUGAGAAAGGAUCUGUCUCACUUUAAUUUAGAUUGAAUUUUAUUUUUAAGUUAAAAAGCUUAAAUUUUAUAGAAAGACGAGAAGACCCUAUAGAGUUUAACAGGUUUAAAUUUAAUUAUUAAAGGAUUUGAAUUUAAUUAUUUUUUAAUUUGUUUUGUUGGGGUGACAUAAGAACUGGAAUAACUUCUUAUUAUUUUUACAUUGAUAAAUGAAUUUGAGAUCCUUAUUUUUGGAUUUAAAGAAUAAAUUACCUUAGGGAUAACAGCGUAAUUUUUUUGGAGAGUUCUGAUCGAUAAAAGGGAUUGCGACCUCGAUGUUGGAUUAAAGUUAAAUUUUGGUGCAGAAGCUGAAAUAUUAAGUCUGUUCGACUUUUAAAACUUU
rnacentral:rRNA from 1 species